rnacentral:rRNA from 1 species
GUACACGCUGUGACUAGCAUAUCAAUAAGCGGAGGAAAAGAAACUAACAAGGAUUCCCCUAGUAACGGCGAGUGAAGCGGGAAGAGCUCAAAUUUGAAAUCUUAAAGGGUUUCCCUUUACGAAUUGUAGUUUAAAGAAGUGUUUUCUGUUGAGGUUUUGGUAAAAGUUCUUUGGAAUAGGACAUCAUAGAGGGUGAGAAUCCCGUAUUUGACCUUUACUUUCAACUUUGUGAUACACUUUCAAAGAGUCGGAUUGUUUGGGAAUGCAGUCCAAAAUGGGUGGUAAAUUUCAUCUAAAGCUAAAUAUUGGCGAGAGACCGAUAGCGAACAAGUACCGUGAGGGAAAGAUGAAAAGAACUUUGAAAAGAGAGUUAAACAGUACGUGAAAUUGUCAAAAGGGAAGCGUUUGACACCAGUGUUGUUUUUCUGAAAAUCAAUUAAAGAACUGUUUAUGCUAAGUUGUUUAGACUUUAUCAGCUAACUGUUUAGUUUUGAGCUUUUCUUUAAUGCACUUUUCAGUUAACAAGUCAACAUCAAUUUCUUUUGCUGUAAAAAAGCUUGAGGAAGGUGGCUUGAGAUUCGUCUUAAGUGUUUAUAGCCUCUUGCCUAUGCAGUCGGAGAGGAUUGAGGUCUGCAGCGUAGAUCCUUCGGGGCUAAAUGCAUUUGUGCUAAGUUAUAGCAUUUUAUAGACAACUUGUUGACUAUGAUUUGUCUUGUAGCUUACUCGCUUAUGUUAUUUUACCUACGCUUAGGAUGUUGACAGCAGUAUAGACUGU